GUGACACGGAACCCUUUGGGAGUCUGCUGAAGCCUAUGGAUGGACCUUUCUUCAGAAUCCUGGUUUUAAAUUCAAACGAGAACGAAAAUACGAAACCAAAUACAUAGGAUUCCAAGGGAAACCGAUUGUAAAGAACCAGCUAUAUAUGCAUACGUAUGUCAUAUACCUGUAUAUGGACUUAUAUGAUACGUGUGUAUAUGUGCACAUAUGUAUACGUGUGUGUGUGUCUGCAGACGUGUUCAUAAAGGUCAGGAACACCUUGGGGAGGUUUUCCUCCCCUAGAGAGAGCUCUGGACUUUGGGCAAGCAAAGGGCUUUCUUGAGCAUGCGCAGAAUCCGCGGGCUGCCGAACUACGUUUCCCAGAAGGCUGUGCAGACCCAGAAGGCGAGUUGGAUUCGUGCCACGUGACUCGUUCGCCCCGGAAAUCAAACUCCCCCCCCCCCCCCCGGCUGAACAGUCCUCGCCCGUUCGUAGGUGGCUGGAAUCUGCUCCGGCGCGGAGGAGUCUGGGGAAUGCGUUGUCCCGCAGCUGGAAACCGAGCUCUGAUUUCUGAGGACUCUGCCCUUCCCCAGUGGGUGUGGACAUCGAGUAGAAGACAAUGGUCCCAGUGGUCCUGCCCACCAGCAGUCACCAGGUAUGUGAGGGGAACAUCUUCCUUAGAUUAUCAACCUGUUUCUUUUUGAUAUUGGGUGAUCCCAGAUGCAGUCUUACUGCCUUUCAUUUCUUGCACAAAAAACCUUUCCAUUCCAUUGACUUCUGAGAAACAUUAUCCAAAAUGAGCAUUACUCUCUGCCAACAAGACCAGAAAACAAUGAAGUGGUGCCUACAGUGCUUGUUCAGGUGGGUUGGACUAGAUGGCUUCUGAGCACCCUUUUCCUUCUUAAAUUUCAUGAUUCUGUGAAAACCAGCCUUGACCUCUUGAGUCCCUGUUGGGAAGGGGCCCUGAAGAUGCAGAAAUAGAAUUGGUAUUUCAGGAAUCAGUGACCUUCAAGGACGUGGCUGUGGACUUCACCUGGGAGGAGUGGGGACGCCUGCGCCCUGCCCAGAAGCAGCUGUAUAGGGAUGUGAUGCUGGAGAACUACAGGAACCUGGUCUGGCUGGGUAAGGAUGCUCCCCAGGGACUCAGACUCUUUGUAGUGGGGAACUUUUGCUUCCUUCCAUACUGAAUGCUGUGGCUUCUCUCCUGUGUUUAUCAGUUCUUGUUUCUUAUGCAGAAAUUCUAGGUUGCCCAUCAUUUUGUGGCCACGUCACAGGCUGCUUCUGCCUGUGUCCAGGUGAAAGACAUUGGCAGGUUCAUUGUGUGGUCCUGAGGUUCUUCCUGUGUUGUUCCUUUUCCCCUCAAGUCCGAGAUCCUUCCUUAAAUUUCCUGUGUAGAUAUUGGAGACAUGGAAGGUUCCCAUGGUCUUGGGGGGUCCUUUCUGGGGCCAGGUUCACUCCUUAAUGCAUUCUCCUGUACGUCCUAGGAGCCCAGGUCAGUGGUCCUUUGUCCCUCUCUUUAGGCCUUCCUGGCAUUCCCAUUUUUCCCUGUGAGAGAUGGUCCAAAUUCUGAGCCAGCUUUCUGAACCAGCAUCUUUGCAUUCCCAUGUGCAGGACUAGCAGUUUCUAAACCAGCUGUGAUUGGUCAUUUGGAGCGAGGGGAAGUGGUUUGGGUGUCCGAGGGAGAGGGCCCAAGAAGCACCUGUGCAGGUGAGUGAGUGCAAAGCAGGUGAGUCGCUAUCAGCAACAUCCCAGCUGGUUGUUUGGAGAAGGGCCUCUGACAGGCUUGGUCAGGGAUUUCUCACAGCUCCUGAGGUCGCUGUGGAGCAGAGCUGAGGCCGUCUGGGAUGGGCUGCUUCCCAGAGCCUCAUCUUCUGCUGGUUUGUCCCUCCAGUCUCAGGGGAGGGUGUCGAGAAAGGAGAGAGUUUUCUCUUUCACCAUUUUAGUGCCUGACCUGCUCCUCAGGAGCCCUUCUGCUUCUCCAUUCAUGAACGUUGCGUGUGUCUCUGUUGUUCUGUGAAUACUAACUAAUGAAAAUAAAGAGUUCAGCCAUGCUGAUCA
ensembl:lncRNA